rnacentral:misc_RNA from 1 species
CCUGGAGUUGUAGGCUUUGCCUGCUAUCUCUUACCCAUGUCUUUUGAGUACCUUCGUUUCCUCGGCGGGUCCGCCCGCCGAUUGGACAAUUUAAACCAUUUGCAGUUGCAAUCAGCGUCUGAAAAAACUUAAUAGUUA